GAGAGUAGGCGCUGGCAGUUGCAGAACUAUACAUAAUCAUAGUUUUGAGGAAAGUCCGGGCUCCCGAAAGACCAAACUUGCUGGAUAACGUCCAGUGCGAGCGAUCGUGAGGAUAGUGCCACAGAAAGAUACCGCCAUAAUUAGGGAAUAGGGAAUAGGGAGUAGGGAAUAGGGAAAAACCCCCACUCACCACUCACCACUCACUACUCCCCACUUUUGGUAAGGGUGCAAAGGUGCGGUAAGAGCGCACCAGCAACAUCGAGAGGUGUUGGCUCGGUAAACCCCGGUUGGGAGCAAGGCCAGAGGAACUACGGUUGGUCUUUUACCAGUUCCGCGUAUAAGAGCCGCUAGAGGCGUUUGGUAACAAACGUCCCAGAUAGAUAACUGCCAUCUUGUAAAAUUUUUUACAUAGAUAACAGAACCCGGCUUACUACCAACUCUCUCCU
rnacentral:RNase_P_RNA from 4 species